rnacentral:rRNA from 1 species
UACAGAGGUUGCAAGCGUUGUUCGGAAUUACUGGGCGUAAAGGGCGCGUAGGCGGUUCGUCAAGUCCUGUGUGAAAUCCCCCGGCUCAACUGGGGAACUGCACAGGAAACUAGCGGGCUUGAGUUCGGGAGAGGGAAGCGGAAUUCCGGGUGUAGCGGUGAAAUGCGUAGAUAUCCGGAGGAACACCGGUGGCGAAGGCGGCUUCCUGGACCGACACUGACGCUGAGGCGCGAAAGCUAGGGGAGCAAACGGG